GAUUGUUGAUCAUGGCUCAGAAUAAACGCUGGCGGGCGUGCUUAACACAUGCAAGUCGAACGUGAAAGUUCAUUCGGGAAAUGAGUAAAGUGGCGAACGGGUGAGUAACGCGUGAGAAUCUGCCCUUUAGUGAAGGAUACCAUUGAGAAAUCGAUGUUAAUACUGCAUAUCUUUGCAAAAAGAAAGGUGGCCUAUAAGCUGCCGCUAAAGGAUGAGCUUGCGUGCUAUUAGCUAGUUGGUGGGGUAAUGGCCUACCAAGGCGAUGAUGGCUAGCCGGCCUGAGAGGGUGUACGGCCACAUUGGAACUGAGAAACGGUCCAGACUCCUACGGGAGGCAGCAGUGAGGAAUAUUGCACAAUGGGCGAAAGCCUGAUGCAGCGACGCCGCGUGGAGGAUGAAGGUCUUCGGAUUGUAAACUCCUGUUAAAUGGGAAAAAAGAGCUCUUCUGAAUAAGAAGAGAAGAUGAUUGUACUAUUAAAGAAAGCACCGGCUAACUUCGUGCCAGCAGCCGCGGUAAUACGAGGGGUGCAAGCGUUAUUCGGAUUUAUUGGGCGUAAAGGGUGUGUAGGCGGUUUUUUAAGUCAUCUAUUAAAUACCUUGGCUUAACCAAGGAAAUGUGGGUGAAACUAGAAGACUAGAGUGUGGAAGAGAGAAGUGGAAUUCUCGGAGUAGCGGUAAAAUGCGUAGAUCUCGAGAGGAACACCGAUGGCGAAGGCAGCUUCUUGGUCCAUUACUGACGCUGAAACACGAAAGCGUGGGGAGCAAACAGGAUUAGAUACCCUGGUAGUCCACGCUGUAAACGAUGAUCACUAGAUGUUACCUCUGCUUGCAGGGGUAGUAUCGUAGCUAACGCGUUAAGUGUCCGC
rnacentral:rRNA from 1 species